GGGGCCGGGGCCGGCGGGACUGAGAAGGGCCAUGGCCGAGCCGGCUCCGUUGCUUUCUUCACUGAAGUCUUGAACCUCUCAAAGUCAUCCAUGAAGGCGGGAAUCAGCUUCUUCCAAACUCCUGUUAAUGUUGAUAUUUCGACCUCUUCCCGUGAAUCUUGGGUGUUCUUCAUGGCAUCCAGAAGGAUAAAUCCUUCCAGAAGGCUUUCAAUUGACUUUGCCCAGAUCCAUCCGAGGAAUCACCAUCCGUGACAGCUAUAGCCUUAUGAAAUGUUAUUUCUUAAAUUAUAAGACUUAAAACGACUCCUUGAUCCAUGGGCUGCAGAAUGGAUGUUGUGUUAACAGAUAGGAAAACAACAUUAACCUUGUACAUCACCAUCAGAGGUCUCGGGUAACCAAGUGAAUUGUCAGUGAUAAAUAAUAUUUUGAGAGGAAUCUUUUUUCCUGAGCAGUAGAUCUCAACAGUGAGCUUAAAAUAGUAAACCAUGUUGUAAACAGAUGUGCUAUUAUCUAGGCUAUGUUGUUCCCUUUCUGGAGCACAGGCAGAGUCGAUCUAGCAUGAUUGUUAGGGGCUUUAGGAUUUUCGGGAUGGUAAAUGAGUGUUGGCUUCGAUUUAAAGGCACCAGCUGCAUUUAGCUCCCAAGAGAGUCAGCCUGUCCUUUGAUGCUUUGAAGCCAAGCAUUGACUUUUCCUCUCUAGCUAUGAAAGUCCUAGAUGGUAUCUUCCUCCAAUAUUAGGCCGUUUUACCUACAUUGAAAAAGCCAUUAUUUAGCGUAGCCACCCUCAUUUUGCAGCUUCUACAUCCGCACUUGCUACUUUACCUUGUUCUUUUAUGUUUAGGAGACAGCUUCUUUCCUUCAACCUCAUGAACCGCCCUCUGCUAGUUUCACAGUUUUCUUCUGCAGCUUCCUUACCUCUCUCAGCCUUCAUUGAAUUGAAGAGAGUUAGGGCCUUGCUCUGGAUGAAGCUUUGGCUUAAAGGAAUAUUUGUGGCUGGUUUAGUCUUCUAUCCAGAACACUAAAACUUUCUUUGUAUCAGCAGUAAGGCUGUUUUUCUUUUUUAUCAUUAGUGUGUUCACUGACGUAGCACUUUAAUUUCCUUCAAGAACUUUUCCUUUGCAAUCACAACUUGGCUAACUGGUGCAAGAGGGCUAGCUUUCAGCCUGUCUCAGCUUUCACCACGCCUUCCUCACUAAGCCUAAUUAUUUCUAGCUUUUGAUUUAAAGGGAGGGAUGUAUGACUGUUCCUCUCACUUGAACACUUAGAGGCCAUUUUAAUGUUCACUUGAAUGCUUAAUAAUGUAGGGUUAUUAAGUUGCCUAAUUUCAAUAUUGCUCUGUCUCAGGGAAUAGGGAGGCCCAAAGAGAGGGAGAGUGAGGGGGUAACGGCCAGUCACUGGAGCAGUCAGAACACACACAUUUAUCACUUAAGUUGGCCAUCUUUUAUAGGCGUGGUUCAUGGUGCCCCAAAACAAUUACAAUAGUAACAUUAAAGAUCGCUGAUCACAGAUCACUGUAACAAAUAUAAUAGUAAUGGAAAGGUUUGAAAUGUUGUGAGAAUUACUAAAAUGUGACAGAGACAUGAAAUGAACAAGUGCUACUGGAAAAAUGACACCAACAGACUUGUUCCACACAGACCUUCAAUUUGUAAACAAUGCAAUAUCUGAAAAGCAAAAUAAAAUUAGCUAUGCCUGUAAACGGGAGAUAAAUCAUGCCUAUGUUUGGGAAGACUAAACAUAGUAAAGGUGUUACUUUUCCUCCAAGUCAAUGUAUAAAUCUAUUGUGGCUUCAUCAAAAUGGCAGUAAGAUUUUUGUGAAUGAGAUGAACAAUUUCUAAAUUUCAUUUGGGAAAAUAAAGGUCAAAAAUACAAUUCUGAAAAGGAAUAACAGGGGAAAUUGCCCUAGCAGAUAAUAAAAUUUACUAUAAAUCUC